rnacentral:rRNA from 1 species
UACGGAGGGAGCUAGCGUUAUCCGGAAUUAUUGGGCGUAAAGAGCUCGUAGGCGGUUUGUCGCGUCUGCCGUGAAAGUCCGGGGCUCAACUCCGGAUCUGCGGUGGGUACGGGCAGACUAGAGUGAUGUAGGGGAGACUGGAAUUCCUGGUGUAGCGGUGAAAUGCGCAGAUAUCUGGAGGAACACCGGUGGCGAAGGCGGCAUUCUGGACCGAUAUUGACGCUGAGGAGCGAAAGCCAGGGGAGCAAACGGG